rnacentral:rRNA from 1 species
UACGAAGGGGCUAGCGUUGCUCGGAAUCACUGGGCGUAAAGGGUGCGUAGGCGGGUCUUUAAGUCAGGGGUGAAAUCCUGGAGCUCAACUCCAGAACUGCCUUUGAUACUGAGAUCUUGAGUUCGGAGAGGUGAGUGGAACUGCGAGUGUAGAGGUGAAAUUCGUAGAUAUUCGCAAGAACACCAGUGGCGAAGGCGGCUCACUGGCC